UACGGAGGGUGCAAGCGUUAUCCGGAAUCAUUGGGUUUAAAGGGUCCGCAGGCGGAUUUAUAAGUCAGUGGUGAAAGCCUGCAGCUCAACUGCAGAACUGCCAUUGAUACUGUAAGUCUUGAAUUCGGUCGAAGUGGGCGGAAUAUGACAUGUAGCGGUGAAAUGCUUAGAUAUGUCAUAGAACACCGAUAGCGAAGGCAGCUCACUAGGCCUGGAUUGACGCUCAGGGACGAAAGCGUGGGGAGCAAACAGG
rnacentral:rRNA from 1 species